UACGUAGGGUGCGAGCGUUGUCCGGAAUUAUUGGGCGUAAAGAGCUUGUAGGCGGUCUGUCGCGUCUGCUGUGAAAAUCCGGGGCUCACCCCGGACUUGCAGUGGGUACGGGCAGACUAGAGUGUGGUAGGGGAGACUGGAAUUCCUGGUGUAGCGGUGAAAUGCGCAGAUAUCAGGAGGAACACCGAUGGCGAAGGCAGGUCUCUGGGCCACUACUGACGCUGAGAAGCGAAAGCAUGGGGAGCGAACAGG
rnacentral:rRNA from 1 species